AAAAACACAGCACUCUGCAAACACGAAAGUGGACGUAUAGGGUGUGACGCCUGCCCGGUGCUGGAAGGUUAAUUGAUGGGGUCAGCCGCAAGGCGAAGCUCUUGAUCGAAGCCCCAGUAAACGGCGGCCGUAACUAUAACGGUCCUAAGGUAGCGAAAUUCCUUGUCGGGUAAGUUCCGACCUGCACGAAUGGCGUAACGACAGCGGCGCUGUCUCCACCCGAGACUCAGUGAAAUUGAAAUCGCUGUGAAGAUGCAGCGUUCCCGUGGCAAGACGGAAAGACCCCGUGAACCUUUACUAUAGCUUUACACUGAACGUUGAGUUCGUCUGUGUAGGAUAGGUGGGAGGCUAUGAAACUGUGGCGCUAGCUGCAGCGGAGCCAUCCUUGAAAUACCACCCUGUCGUGCUUGACGUUCUAACCUGGGCCCAUUAUCUGGGUCGGGGACCGUGUAUGGUGGGUAGUUUGACUGGGGCGGUCUCCUCCUAAAGAGUAACGGAGGAGCUCGAAGGUACGCUCAGCGCGGUCGGACAUCGCGCACUGUGUGCAAAGGCAUAAGCGUGCUUGACUGCAAGAUCGACGGAUCAAGCAGGUAGGAAACUAGGACUUAGUGAUCCGGUGGUUCUGUAUGGAAGGGCCAUCGCUCAACGGAUAAAAGGUACUCCGGGGAUAACAGGCUGAUACCGCCCAAGAGUUCAUAUCGACGGCGGUGUUUGGCACCUCGAUGUCGGCUCAUCACAUCCUGGGGCUGUAGUCGGUCCCAAGGGUAUGGCUGUUCGCCAUUUAAAGUGGUACGCGAGCUGGGUUCAGAACGUCGUGAGACAGUUCGGUCCCUAUCUGCCAUGGGCGUUGGAGAUUUGAGAGGGGCUGCUCCUAGUACGAGAGGACCGGAGUGGACGAACCUCUGGUGUUCCGGUUGUCACGCCAGUGGCAUUGCCGGGUAGCUAUGUUCGGAAGCGAUAACCGCUGAAAGCAUCUAAGCGGGAAGCGCGCCUCAAGAUGAGAUCUCCCGGGGCACAAGCCCCCUGAAGGAACCAUGUAGACUACGUG
rnacentral:rRNA from 1 species